rnacentral:SRP_RNA from 1 species
GCAGGAGGCUGGUGGACGUGCCACUCGCCAAUUCGGUCAGGUCCGAAAGGAAGCAGCCGUAACGAGCCCGGGGCGGGUCAUCAGUCUUCUCCUCUUUU